UGUUCCUCCUCCGCUUCUCUGUCCCGAGCUCAGCGCAGAUUCUACCCGUACUUCCAGACCCGCAAGUCGGGGUAGCCCGGGCCUGGGUCUUCACCUCCUGCCCCUCCCAGCAAAUAGCUCGGGUCCCCUCCAGGUUCUUCCUCCUCAGCCCUACCGCAGCCAACUGCAGCAACCGGUUCUCGUCCUUCUAAAGCCUGCCGACUCAGAGCUCCAGGGUAGGUUUCAGCUUCUCCCCACAGCACCGACGGGACAGGUGUUAGGGAACACAGGACAUUUUAAACAGGAUAGUCGGGAAGUUGUACAGCCCGGGAGGCGGAAUGCUUUUGCGCAUUUUUCCAAGCUGGGUCCUGAGGAGGGACUGAUGGCCAGAAAAAGCUGAGUGGCCCGAUGAGACAAUAUGCUGGGCCUUCAGAAUGAGGCCAAAGCCCUAUUCCUGGAGCCCACCCGACCUUCAAGGACCAGUGCUUCCUCCCACCAGUGCCCUUACUAGGGACAUCUGCUGGUGAAGAUCUAACCCACCAGAGCAGAAGAGAGGGGACUUGUCUCUGCCUCUCCUCUUUGGUCCAAAUAAGCCAAUAAAAUGUCCCAGCUACCGCCUCCUCAGGGUGCUGAAGGGGUACGUAUCUCUACGACAGUCAUCUCCUCCUGUUUUCCCAACACCUCUGUCUGUACACCACAGAGGACAGGAGGGCAGGUGGCCUGGGUCACCACACAGAAGUGACCACCAGGAGGUGCAAGGUUCUUGCUGUUUUUGCUCUACUCAGAUGGUGGGUUUCACCCCUCACCCCAUUCCGCCCCCAUCAGAAAAGAGAAGAACGGGGUGCUUCAGCUGUUGUUUAUUGACACACAGGUAGGCUCUAUAGCAACGGGCCUGGAGGCGGCUGCAGUAGUGGGGAAAAUGGAGGGUGGAGUGUGCCUGCAGCGACAGCUGAGUGUAGGAACAGACGUG